CAGCCGCCGCGGUAAAACGAACCGUGCAAACGUUACUCGGAAUCACUGGGCUUAAAGCGCACGUAGGCGGCGACAUAAGUUAGAGGUGAAAUCCCAUCGGCUCAACCGUGGAACUGCCUCUAAUACUGUGUUGCCUGAGGGAGAACGGGGCAUUCGGAACUUCCGGUGGAGCGGUGAAAUGUGCUGAUAUCGGAAGGAACGCCGGUGGCGAAAGCGGAAUGCUGGGUCUCUUCUGACGCUGAGGUGCGAAAGCUAGGGUAGCGAACGGGAUUAGAUACCCCCGUAGUCCCUGUCUCUUAUA
rnacentral:rRNA from 1 species